rnacentral:rRNA from 1 species
GAUGAACGCUGGCGGCGUGCCUAACACAUGCAAGUCGAGCGAGAUUAAGUGUAGUGGAGACUUCGGUCAAAGUGAAGCUUAUGAAAGCGGCGGACGGGUGAGUAACGCGUGGGCAACCUGCCCCAUACAGAGGGAUAGCCACUGGAAACGGUGAUUAAUACCUCAUAAGUCAGUAGGAUCGCAUGAUUUAGCUGACAAAGAUUUAUCGGUAUGGGAUGGGCCCGCGUCUGAUUAGCUAGUUGGUGAGGUAACGGCUCACCAAGGCGACGAUCAGGAGCGGGCGUGAGAGGGUGAUCGGCCACACUGGAACUGAGACACGGUCCAGACUCCUACGGGAGGGAGCAGUGGGGAAUAUUGCACAAUGGGCGCAAGCCUGAUGCAGCAACGCCGCGUGAGUGAUGAAGGCCUUCGGGUUGUAAAACUCUGUCCUAUGGGAAGAAACAAAUGACGGUACCAUGGGAGGAAGCCCCGGCUAACUACGUGCCAGCCGCCGCCGUAAUAC